rnacentral:rRNA from 1 species
UAGCCUACGGGAGGCAGCAGUGAGGAAUAUUGGUCAAUGGCCGCAGGGCUGAACCAGCCAAGUCGCGUGAGGGACGACGGUCCUAUGGAUUGUAAACCUCUUUUGUCAGGGAGCAACGCCGGCUACGUGUAGCCGGACUGAGAGUACCUGAAGAAAAAGCAUCGGCUAACUCCGUGCCAGCAGCCGCGGUAAUACGGAGGAUGCGAGCGUUAUCCGGAUUUAUUGGGUUUAAAGGGUGCGUAGGCGGAAUGCCAAGUCAGCGGUAAAAUCGCGGGGCUCAACCUCGCUCCGCCGUUGAAACUGGC